rnacentral:rRNA from 1 species
GUGAACGCUGGCGGCGUGCUUAGCACAUGCAAGUCGAACGGUAACAGGAAGUAGCUUGCUCUCCUGAUUAGUGGCGCACGGGUGAGUAUACCAUAGAUAAUGUACCUCUUAGUUUGGGAUAGCCACUGGAAACGGUGAUUAAUACCAGAUACUCCUUCUCGUUAUAAGACGAGUCGGGAAAGUUUUUUCGCUAAGAGAUCAGUCUAUGUCCUAUCAGCUAGUUGGUGAGGUAAUGGCUCACCAAGGCUAUGACGGGUAUCUGGUUUGAGAGGAUGAUCAGACACACUGGAACUGAGACACGGGCCAGACUCCUACGGGAGGCAGCAGUGAGGAAUAUUGCACAAUGGAGGAAACUCUGAUGCAGCAACGCCGCGUGGAGGAUGACGCAUUUCGGUGUGUAAACUCCUUUUAAGAGGGAAGAUAAUGACGGUACCUCUUGAAUAAGCACCGGCUAACUCCGU